AAUAAUAAAAAUAAAAAUUCUGUCCAGUUGCACUGAAUUACUUGAAGAUUAGUGUUGUCUGUAACACUUUAUAUAAAAAACAAGCUGUUGAGAGUUUUUUAUCGCUUGCUCAUUUAUUAGUGGCAUCUUUGAUUUUCUUCCAUUGUAAACUUGUAGGUAUUCCGCAUCAUCGCAGAUCCAAAGUUUUGGAUAAAUCCAAAUUUGGCCGGUCGGCUAAGUUGAGGAGCUCGACUUGGUGGAUCCGAUUUUUUCUUCAGAUGAGCUUAGAGGAGAACGAAGCUGCAGUCAAAAAGUUUGAGCAAGCUGCAGAAAAAGGAUCAUACAGCCCAAGCUGCCAAAUUUUUCAUCUCAAACCAUACAAUUGAUGGAUGCUUGGGCAGAGAUUUUCAGUAGAGUUGGAGUAACCGGUGCAUCUAUGACUGCUAAGAUACGCAUCUUCAGUUAAUGAUGCAGGCGAAUGAUCCUCCCAAGGAGAUUCUUAGCAAAAUGGUCUAUAAAGAAAUGUCUCUACUAUAAAGAAAUGUUUCUAUCACAAUAUGUUCAUAUUCUUUUAUUCAAAUUUGUGGAGAGUCGGAGCAUCAAACAAUAAUGGGGUCUACUUUUAUGUAAGAUACAUUGGAUUUUGGCAGCUCACACACUGGAAAUGCUGUCAAUUUAAGCAAGUUGGAUAAAUAUGUUUUGAUUUGAAGCUUAACUUCAUGUACACACCUUUCCUCCAAAUGUUUUUGGGCGAUUUAAGAAGCAUGGUCGAACUGAAGUCAACAUAACUCUAGAAAUAUGUUUACUGCUCU